CCGUCUACUCUUGGACAGCCUCUNAAGAAGAUAAUACAAGAUGGCAUCAUGAGUCCGCAUGUUCACAUGAUUAAAGGUAUUCCGGUAGACGAUGGGGAUGCGUUCCAUUAGAUAGUAGGCGGGGUAACGGCCCACCUAGUCUUCGAUGGAUAGGGGUUCUGAGAGGAAGGUCCCCCACAUUGGAACUGAGACACGGUCCAAACUCCUACGGGAGGCAGCAUG
rnacentral:rRNA from 1 species